rnacentral:rRNA from 1 species
UACGUAGGGUGCGAGCGUUAAUCGGAAUUACUGGGCGUAAAGCGUGCGCAGGCGGUUAUAUAAGACAGUUGUGAAAACCCCGGGCUCAACCUGGGACCUGCUUUUGUGACUGUAUAGCUAGAGGACGGUAGAGGGGGAUGGGAUUCCGCGUGUAGCAGUGAAAUGCGUAGAUAUGCGGAGGAACACCGAUGGCGAAGGCAAUCCCCUGGACCUGUACUGACGCUCAUGCACGAAAGCGUGGGGAGCAAACAGGAUUAGAUACCCUGGUAGUCCACGCCCUAAACGAUGUCAACUAGUUGUUGGGUCUUCACUGACUCAGUAACGAAGCUAACGCGUGAAGUUGACCGCCUGGGGAGUACGCCCGCAAGGUUG